rnacentral:rRNA from 1 species
GGCGUAGGUGGCGAACGUUAUCCGGAAUUAUUGGGCGUAAAGGAUGCGUAGAUGGUGUAGUAAGUUAUCGGUGGCAAAUCGAGGCUCAACCUCGUGGAAGUCGGUAAUACUGCUAUGCUAGAGGAUAGGAGAGGUUAACGGAACUCCCUGUGGAGCGGUGAAAUGCGUAGAUAUAGGGAAGAACACCAAUCAGGCGAAGGCAGUUAACUAGUCUAUUCCUGACAUUGAGGCAUGAAAGCGUGGGGAGCAAAACGG